rnacentral:rRNA from 1 species
GACAGAGGGUGCAAACGUUGUUCGGAUUUACUGGGCGUAAAGCGCGUGUAGGCGGCUUUGCAAGUCGGAUGUGAAAGCCCACGGCUCAACCGUGGAAGUGCAUCCGAAACUGCAUGGCUCGAGUCUCGGAGAGGAAGGUGGAAUGCUUGGUGUAGAGGUGAAAUGCGUAGAUAUCGGGAGGAACAUCAGUGGCGAAGGCGGCUAUCUGGUCUAACACUGACACUGAGACACGAAAGCGUGGGGAGCAAACAGG